GGCGGUGGGAUCAACGCCGUCGCUAAUCGUCUGGUUUGUAUUCAAAUUCUCGGACGCACACAAUAUGUUUGAUUUAAUGCUGCUAUCCAUCUCCCAAUGAAAUACAAAACUUUUUUUUUUUCCUUGCAAUUUGAUAACAACAUACACAGAGCAAAUGGGUGUUAGCUGCUCUGUUUGGAUCGGUUCUGCUUCUACGACAUGAUGGUGCAGCCUUGUGGGCUGUCAUUGGCUCCGUUUCCAAUUCCGCGCUUUCCGUAGCUCUCAAACGCAUCCUUAACCAAGAGAGACCUGUUGCAACUCUGCGUUCUGACCCUGGGAUGCCUUCUUCUCAUGCUCAGUCCAUUUCUUUCAUCUCUCUCUUUACCCUCUUCUCUGGUAAAACUCUCAAAUUUCUCUCACCCUUUCCUUUCCCAUCUCUCUUUCUCUACUUGCAUCAUUUCGUCACCUCUCAAACUGUUAUUUCCCCAGUUAUGGAGUGGCUUGGAACCAACGAACUCUCUCUUUUCCUUAGCGGCCUCAUCGUUGCGUUGGCUUCUUACUUUGUAAGUUUUCAUGCAAAACUGUUGCAGAACCAUAUAAACUAAUUCAUUCACUUACUGGUGAUGAUGAUUGUAUGCAGACAUGGUUAAGGGUCUCCCAGAAGCUUCACACGGCCAGUCAAGUGGUGGUGGGUGCAAUCGUGGGCUCUGUUUACUCCACCUUGUGGUACAUAACGUGGAACUCACUUGUUCUGGAAGCUUUCGCCUCAUCAUUCUCUGUACAAGUAGCUGUAUUUACAGCUGCUGCUGCAUCUGCUCUGGGUUUUGCAGUUUAUGUGCUACUUAACUGGUUCAAAGAUGACAGAUGACAAAGAAAAUAUAAUAAUUCGAGGGUUAUAAAACUAUUCCUUUGUUUCCCAUUUCACUCGUUAGAGGGUUUAAUUUAGGUUGAGUUGUAGUUUAGAUAAUUCAUUAAGGCUAUUUUAGUACUUAGCCAUAUUUCUGUAAUUAAAAGAAAAUAAAUAAUAAAUAAUUUAUUAAGAGGGACAAAAUAGCAUAAACAUAGGAGUUACUAGGGCAAAUUAGAAUAAAGUCCUCGAAAUUGACAAAUUCUUUUUGGAUAUGGCAGCAGCGUCAUCUAUUGCUCUCUUCCACAAACCAACCUGCAGUUUCUAUUUGGGCCCUUUCUCUGCUCCCGCUCGAUAUCGAAGUUGGAGCUCAAUAUUCCAUUUGAAUCGGAGGAGACUCUUCUCUUUCUCUGCUCCUCCUAAAACUAUGGCCGAUUUAGUCAAAACCCAUGCUUGGAGAGACGGCGGAAAUAUUGACGGGGAAGAACGGUUUCAGGCCUUCGAGCAAGAGGCUUUUAUGAAGAAUAGUCCCUCCAACGAUUUGGUCUCCGAUGCUGGCGGUGGGAUCAACGCCGUCGCUAAUCGUCUGGUUUGUAUUCAAAUUCUCGGACGCACACAAUAUGUUUGAUUUAAUGCUGCUAUCCAUCUCCCAAUGAAAUACAAAACUUUUUUUUUUUCCUUGCAAUUUGAUAACAACAUACACAGAGCAAAUGGGUGUUAGCUGCUCUGUUUGGAUCGGUUCUGCUUCUACGACAUGAUGGUGCAGCCUUGUGGGCUGUCAUUGGCUCCGUUUCCAAUUCCGCGCUUUCCGUAGCUCUCAAACGCAUCCUUAACCAAGAGAGACCUGUUGCAACUCUGCGUUCUGACCCUGGGAUGCCUUCUUCUCAUGCUCAGUCCAUUUCUUUCAUCUCUCUCUUUACCCUCUUCUCUGGUAAAACUCUCAAAUUUCUCUCACCCUUUCCUUUCCCA
rnacentral:lncRNA from 1 species